rnacentral:rRNA from 1 species
GUAACACGUGGGCAACCUGCCCAAAAGAGGGGGAUAACACUUGGAAACAGGUGCUAAUACCGCAUAACCAUAGUUACCGCAUGGUAGCUAUGUAAAAGGUGGCUAUGCUACCGCUUUUGGAUGGGCCCGCGGCGCAUUAGCUAGUUGGUGGGGUAAAGGCUUACCAAGGCAAUGAUGCGUAGCCGAACUGAGAGGUUGAUCGGCCACAUUGGGACUGAGACACGGCCCAAACUCCUACGGGAGGCAGCAGUAGGGAAUCUUCCACAAUGGGCGAAAGCCUGAUGGAGCAACGCCGCGUGGGUGAAGAAGGUCUUCGGAUCGUAAAACCCUGUUGUUAGAGAAGAAAGUGCGUGAGAGUAACUGUUCACGUUUCGACGGUAUCUAACCAGAAAGCCACGGCUAACUACGUGCCAGCAGCCGCGGUAAUACGUAGGUGGCAAGCGUUAUCCGGAUUUAUUGGGCGUAAAGGGAACGCAGGCGGUCUUUUAAGUCUGAUGUGAAAGCCUUCGGCUUAACCGGAGUAGUGCAUUGGAAACUGGGAGACUUGAGUGCAGAAGAGGAGAGUGGAACUCCAUGUGUAGCGGUGAAAUGCGUAGAUAUAUGGAAGAACACCAGUGGCGAAAGCGGCUCUCUGGUCUGUAACUGACGCUGAGGUUCGAAAGCGUGGGUAGCAAACAGGAUUAGAUACCCUGGUAGUC